AAAAGGCAAUAAGCAAAUGCAUGUGGAAAAUAUGCAAGUCAGUUCUCCAGGCCAGGGUCCCGGGCAUGUUCUUAGAACAGAAACUCUGCUCUCAGCUUUAUUUUGCUGCAGGAGCUUGGGGCAGGUCAGUGGUUCAGGGUCUGCGUGUUGAAGCAAGGUUGGAAAUAAAGAAGUUCCUGAUGUGCCUCACCCUCCACAAACAGAGUGUGUCCCUGAUACUGGAUACCACCCGGCUUCUGGAGACCCUUGGGCUGAGAGUCUGAGGCUCUGACGUUGCAAUUCAGACCCCAAAGCGCAGCGGAUUUUCAUCUGGGUUUCAGAGGAGGCAUUAUCUUCAUUUUGUUUCUGGACACUGGAGCUGAACCCCCUCCCCCAGAGAUAAGAACAAACAGAAUGUGUUCUGUCUUCCCAAAGAUGCUACAUCAGCAUGUAUUUUCCACUUAAGGCUUUUAAGCAUUUGACUUACACAUUUAUGAACACCCCCGGUGGACCGUUAGGGUUUGGUUUAAUCCCCAAGAAAACUGGCAUUAAAAUAGACCUUUUCCCGGCAAUAAUAAUCUCAUUUACGAUAAAUUAUUCUAUUCUCAGUACCUUUGAGACACAUGAGAGCUUUUAUGUAAUAAAGAAGCCAUUUAUUUCCGAAUA